GCAAACUUGGUCAUUUAGAGGAAGUAAAAGUCGUAACAAGGUUUCCGUAGGUGAACCUGCGGAAGGAUCAUUACCGAACUGAAACGGGGCGUGUCCGCGGCGCCCUGCUCCGGCGGCAACGCCGUGAUGCGGGCCCUGGCCGUCCCUUCCACCCCCACACCCCCCUGUGCACCUUUGGAGGCUCAUGGUACCUCUCCCUUGGCGUGUCUCGCUCUGGGAUUGGGAAGUGAAGCCUCCCUUUCACAUACACUGUAUAAAAGAAUGUCUUUGGGGCUUGCGCCCCGGUCUAAAACUGAAACAACUUUCAACAACGGAUCUCUUGGCUCUCGCAUCGAUGAAGAACGCAGC
rnacentral:misc_RNA from 1 species